ensembl:lncRNA
CAGCGAUAUGUCCUCAAUCCUUUUGCAGCUGCAUCUGCUCCCUCCAACCUCAAGAGGCCAGAAAAAAAAUAUCCAAGAUCAGUUCAGUUCAAUCAACCAGCCAUCUUGUGAGCUACCUUAAGGAAGGAGCCAGUGUGACUACCUUCAUUGAGAGUGCUGACACAAGACAACCAUUUCUCCUCUGCAUCGGUGAGCGAAAGAAGGAUAUCCAAAAGUUCUACAUUAUUAUCGACCAAAAGGCGAUCCCAUAAUACCGCUGCUGGGAAAUUGCCGUUCCCAAGGUUGGACACACGAGGGCAGUCAAGCUCCAUCCAGCACAACACACAACGCCACC